ACGAACGCUGGCGGCAGGCUUCACAUGCAAGUCGAACGCCCCGCAAGGGGAGUGGCAGACGGGUGAGUAACGCGUGGGACUACCGUGCCCUGCGGAAUAGCUCCGGGAAACUGGAAUUAAUACCGCAUACGCCCUACGGGAAAGAUUUAUCGGGGUAUGAUGAGCCCGCGUUGGAUUAGCUAGUUGGUGGGGUAAGCCUACCAAGGCGACGAUCCAUAGCUGGUCUGAGAGGAUGAUCAGCCACAUUGGGACUGACACGGCCCAAACUCCUACGGGAGGCAGCAGUGGGGAAUAUUGGACAAUGGGCGCAACUGAUCCAGCCAUGCCGCGUGAGUGAUGAAGGCCUUAGGGUUGUAAAGCUCUUUCACCAGAAGAUAAUGACGGUAUCCGGAGAAGAAGCCCCGGCUAACUUCGUGCCAGCAGCCGCUAAUACGAAGGGGGCUAGCGUUGUUCGGAAUUACUGGGCGUAAAGCGCACGUAGGCGGAUUUAAGUCAGGGGUGAAAUCCCAGAGCUCAACUCUGGAACUGCCUUUGAUACUGGGUCCUGAGUAUGGAAGAGGUAAGUGGAAUUCCGAGUGUAGAGGUGAAAUUCGUAGAUAUUGAGGAACACCAGUGGCGAAGGCGGCUUACUGGUCCAUUACUGACGCUGAGGUGCGAAAGUGGGGAGCAAACAGGAUUAGAUACCCUGGUAGUCCACGCCGUAAACGAUGAAUGUUA
rnacentral:rRNA from 1 species